AAUCUGUAUCAUUUAAAAUUAUAAUAUCGAAGGUAGGGAAAUUAGUUUGAACCAGUUACGUGAUAUACGUAUAAUAAAAAAAUAAGAGGAAAAUAAAGGAAGAAGAAAAGCGUGAAACGCGAAUACUCGAUCGAGCGAAGGAAUGCACGGUGGUGGGUCGAGUUAGGAGAUUAUUAGGGAUGGUGUGGAGGGUAGGAGAUGGAAUCAGAGAGGAAACGCGAGGUUUGAGGGGAUGUCGGUGCGUAAAAGGAGAAUGCAUAGGUUACUAGCAGCCGACGCCAGUAUCGACCGGUCGCGCUACGCGUACAUCUACACCCCUUGGCGUCUGCAUGGUCGGGGACAAUUUCUCUCCGAUUAUUCGAUCCAUCAGUUUACCAUUUCCUCCGAGAAAACCGUUGGACGUGCGAGCUUUUCUUCGAUCCAUGUGCAAACAAAGCUUCAAGUUUGCGCGAUAAUCCGUUAAUGCACUUUACACCGAUUCACCUUAAUCAACCGUAUAAUCGCGAGCUUACUCGCUAUUUUAUCCCCCGUUAUAUCUUUACGUUGCUCUUUUAUCAUGUAGAUGAGCGAUAAGAUUGUGAAAAUUUUUCAAGAUUAGAACAAUUUCGAGAUUCGAUCAGAUAUUAUGCUAAAAUUUAAGCGCUUCUUCGUUCGUUAAACUACCAUUAUUGAUCACGAUGAAUCUAAAUUGUUUCGAUUUAGAAAAUUUCAAUCGUAAGAAGGGGGAAACACCGUGUUUCAAGGAAUGGAAUGGAAUUUUAAACCGAGUUUGAAACGAUUCGGAACUAAUUUCGUUUCUGAACACAAUCGUUAUGAAACGUGUAUAUCGCGAGAAGUUGGGACAUUAGUGAAAAUCAGAUAUGCAGGGGGUAAGAUGGAGGAGGAGGAAGUUGAGACAGAAGAAAAAAGGAAAAAGGAAAUAAAAAAGGCGAAGGACCACGAACCGUUGAGCUGUAAUCUCUAUGGAUUAUCGGGUUGAAAAGGCUUAAUGCACAAAGGCCGCCCAAGGCGGGUGGAUGCGGUGAAGUUGGAAGGGUGUGUCUCGGAAAAAAAAGCGGAUGAAUAGCGGUGAAACGAAAGGAGUGCGCGAUAACUGUUGAUCUCUCGCCAACUCGUACGUCCCUCGGACCGACCGACGGAACAAACGAAAUAAACGCGUGACAUAAUCCUUGAAAAUAAUAAUAAGACUCGGUUAUUUCGACGUUUGACACGAUGCAGUCGUUCUUCUUUAGUGCCAAUCUCGAUUCUUAUCCAAUUAUUCGUUUUGUCUCGUCUCUUUAAAUGCGAGGUGCGUUCAAAUUUUUCCUCUCUCUUUCCAUCUUCAUCGCGAUAAAGAAAGAAAGAAAUGUAGAAAUUAAUACAUGCAAAUUUAUUUCUGAUUACAUACAAGUAUAAUAAAAUAAAAUAAAUAAAUAAUUUGAUUAAAUAGAUAGAAAUGAAAUGUCCAUAAAUUUUUAUUGCAUCGAUUGUAUCGUCCAACAUUCAGUCUCGUGACAAGUAUCGUGACACAAAGCGCUUCGUUCACGCUCUGUCUCUUUUUCCAUGAGAGCGUGUAUCGAACAAACGUAAAUUGCGUGAAAUUAUGCGUCGUAUCAAGUGUAAUUGACUUCAUGAUUCGUACCAUCCAUGUGAAUUUAUAUUUAAAUUCCGCUAGUAACAGGAACACAGAUAAAUAAGAAUAAAUAAGAAUGAAUGACGUGAUUUUUUUUUUUCCUUUAAAAAAAAAAAAUUUAUUUCGAUAUAACGAGUUCCGUUUCAAUCAGAACAUUUAAAUAUAUCUUACAUCGCAUGCAUAUAUAGUUAUCUUUGUUUUGAACAAACAAACGAUCAAAUCGCAUCGUUACUAAUUUUAACGAGAAUAUCGUCCAAUCUCUGACACGUUUCGAUAUGGUUGUUACAAGUUGCUUGAUACAAGUUGUUUGUCAAAAUGAUUCUUUAUUUUAAGUGAAUUGAGAUUCUUAUUAAUAUUCUAACAUAAUGAUAUCACGAAUAAUUAUUUUUAUUUAAUUUAACAAUUAAAUUAAAUAUCGUAUUAAAUAUCCUUCAAUUAUACGCACAUAGAAAAAAAAAAAUAUAUAUAUAAUGCUUACCUAUAUUUUUAACAUCUUUGAAUCGAAGAAAAUGAUUGUUCUUUGUUAAUGUUGAUGUCCUGACUGAUUUUCUUGUACGGUAUUUGAAUUAUACGUAAAAAAAAAUGUAAAACACCACACACAAAAGAGUAAUAUGAAAAUAAAAAAUGUUAUAGCGUUAAAUUUAUCCCAUCCGAAUAUAAUUUCGUUCACAGUUUCAAAUUUUUUUCUAAAUCUCAUAUUCAUUUUUAAUUCUUCGUAUUACUAUUACUUUUUAUUAAUUCUAAAGUAUAUUUUAUUUCUGAUCUAUGAUAAAAUCCUCUUGCACUAGCGACACAUCAAAUGAUGAUCCAAAUACAUUAACACUCUGUAUAUAUGAUUACCUUCUACAAUAAAUGUAAAAGUACGAUUAGAUAACGUAA